rnacentral:rRNA from 1 species
AGCGAACGCUGGCGGCAGGCCUAACACAUGCAAGUCGAACGAACCUUUCGGGGUUAGUGGCGGACGGGUGAGUAACACGUGGGAACGUGCCUUUAGGUUCGGAAUAACUCAGGGAAACUUGUGCUAAUACCGAAUGUGCCCUUCGGGGGAAAGAUUAAUCGCCUUUAGAGCGGCCCGCGUCUGAUUAGCUAGUUGGUUGAGGUAAUGGCUCACCACGGCGACGAUCAGUAGCUGGUCUGAGAGGAUGAUCAGCCACAUUGGGACUGAGACACGGCCCAAACUCCUACGGGAGGCAGCAGUGGGGAAUCUUGCGCAAUGGGCGAAAGCCUGACGCAGCCAUGCCGCGUGAAUGAUGAAGGUCUUAGGAUUGUAAAAUUCUUUCACCGGGGACGAUAAUGACGGUACCCGGAGAAGAAGCCCCGGCUAACUUCGUG